GCCACAACCCGGAAACCCUCCCCAGGGGAAGAACCCAAACAGACAAACACAGCGCCGUCUGUCCCGCCAAAGGCUCGGCCGAGAGCGCCAUGGCUGCACCGCACUUCGUCGCCAGUUCGAGAAAAGCCAUUAACUUUCUGCGUGCGUCGGCCUCCAAACACGACGAAGGCAAGUGUGAUUACUCUCCUUGCAGGGCCUCGGCGACUGUGAGGUGAAGUGCAGAUCAGCGAGGGAGCGAGAAAGGGGGGUAAUGCAAUGCCAACUGCGCCACACGACUAUCAUUAUAAAGGCAUUGCAACACAUGAUACAAAGUUCCCGACGAUGAUCGACAGGAAUACAACUAAACGCGAACGUAGCGACCGACGGUCAUCGGCCAUAAACCAUUCAAAUCUAUUUAGAAAUCCCUUGGCUAUCAAAUACGUUUUAUGCCUUUCCUCUAUCUUUUAUUACAUAUACUGAUUUAUUGGCCUGUUUAUUAGCGAGUAAAUUUACUCAGAAAUAAA
rnacentral:lncRNA from 1 species